rnacentral:rRNA from 1 species
UGAGGAAUUUUCCGCAAUGGGCGAAAGCCUGACGGAGCAACGCCGCGUGAGGGAUGAAGUCUCUAGGGAUGUAAACCUCUGUUGGGAGGGACGCGGUACCUCCUGAGGAAGCCCCGGCUAACUACGUGUCAGCAGCCGCGGUAAAACCGGUUACCCUACGG